AUUGAACGCUGGCGGCAGGCCGAACACAUGCAAGUCGAACGAGUGGCGGACGGGUGAGUAAUGUCUGGGAAACUGGCUGAUGGAGGGGGAUAACUACGGGAAACGGUAGCUAAUACCGCAUGACAUCAGAUGUGCCCAGAUGGGAUUAGCUUGUUGGUGGGGUAACGGCUCACCAAGGCGAAGAUCCCUAGCUGGUCUGAGAGGAUGACCACCCAGACUGGAACUGUGUCACGGUCAAGACGCCUACGGUAGGCAGCAGUGGGGAAUAUUGCACAAUGGGCGCAAGCCUGCAGCAGCCAUGGCGCGUGGAGGAAGAAGGCCUUCGGGUUGUAAAGUACUUUUAGCGGGGAGGCGUUACCCGCAUAAGAAGCACCUGCUAACUCCGUGCCAGCAGCCGCGGUAAUAC
rnacentral:rRNA from 1 species